AGCGAACGCUGGCGGCAGGCCUAACACAUGCAAGUCGAGCGCCCCGCAAGGGGAGCGGCAGACGGGAGAGUAACACGUGGGAACGUACCCUUUGGUUCGGAACAACCCAGGGAAACUUGGGCUAAUACCGGGUAAGCCCUUACGGGGAAAGAUUCAUCGCCGAAGGAUCGGCCCGCGUCUGAUUAGCUAGUUGGUGGGGUAACGGCCCACCAAGGCGACGAUCAGUAGCUGGUCUGAGAGGAUGAUCAGCCUCACUGGGACUGAGACACGGCCCAGACUCCUACGGGAGGCAGCAGUGGGGAAUAUUGGACAAUGGGCGCAAGCCUGAUCCAGCCAUGCCGCGUGGGUGAUGAAGGCCCUAGGGUUGUAAAGCCCUUUCGGCGGGGAAGAUAAUGACGGUACCCGCAGAAGAAGCCCCGGCUAACUUCGUGCCAGCAGCCGCCGUAAGAC
rnacentral:rRNA from 1 species